rnacentral:rRNA from 1 species
UACAGGGGGUGCAAACGUUGCUCGGAAUCAUUGGGCGUAAAGCGCACGUAGGCGGCUUUGCAAGUCCCAUGUGAAAUCCCACGGCUUAACCGUGGAAGUGCAUGGGAAACUGCAGAGCUUGAGUACUUAAGAGGAUCGCGGAAUUCCCGGUGUAGAGGUGAAAUUCGUAGAUAUCGGGAGGAACACCAGUGGCGAAGGCGGCGAUCUGGGAAGAUACUGACGCUGAGGUGCGAAAGCGUGGGGAGCAAACAGG